GUCCUCAGACGUUAACGUAUGACACAGGAGGGUUGUGCUGGAGUAGGUAAACAAUGUGGCUGCUUCGUAGUUAAAUAUGAGCAGUUAGUUAUAUGAUUAAAUUAGAGACACGGGUCAGUAAGAUUGCAGUGAGCAAAUGAAGACCUUAGUUGUUGGAGUUGGUGGGGUGACCAAUGGGGGGAAAUCUACCCUCUCUCAACUUCUUCACCAGAAAUUACACAACAGCUGUAUCAUUCCUCAGGAUUCGUAUUUCAAGGAUGACUGUUUCGUACCGGUGGACAGUAACGGCUUCAAGCAAUAUGACACGCUUGAUGCUCUUCACAUGGACAAGAUGCUGAUAGAGGUUCAGUCCUGGAGAAGAGAUCCUCGUUCUUAUCUGAGGCAGCGAGGCCUGAUACCCAAAGAUUCACCAGCUGAUGAUAAGGAAGUUUAUGUUCUGAUAGUGGAAGGCUUCCUCAUUUUCAACUACAGGCCCCUAAACGAGCUGAUUGACAGGAGGUAUUUUUUGGAAAUCUCUUAUGAUGUCUGUAAGAAGAGAAGAAGCUCCAGGGUGUAUUCGCCUCCAGAUCCUCCAGGCUACUUUGACGGAUACGUGUGGCCAAUGUACCUUAAAAACCGCGAAGAGAUGAAGAGCAGCACCUCAGAAAUUGUUUAUCUGGAUGGUUUGAAGCCAAAGGAUGAGCUGUUAGAUGUUGUUUAUGGGGACGUUUGUCAAGCGAUUGAGAGGCUGCAGGCCUUCAAGUCCAGACUUCAAUCUGUGGAGAGAGCUAAAGAUUAGGGUGAUGACAAGGAGGCCCUCCAACCUUCAGAGACUUGGGGCUCAUCACUAAAAAUAAAUCGAUAAAAUACCAGUGGAAACAUGCAAAAAGCCAGUCAGCAACUAAAAGGAGGGUUCAAUUCCUCUAAUGCCAAUAAAGUUUCUUUCACUGAUUAUUGGGAAAGGACAAAGCUGAAGUUACUGACACAUUUUGAUAAUGUCUGAAGAUUGCGGCUCCUGUGGAUGUUGGAAAAAGGAUCUUCUAAUGGACUAAUGUGUGAUUGGAGGGACCAACUAUUGUGCAUUUAUUGGUGCCAUGAGAAAGUCUUUUGCAUUUUUUGGUUACUAUUGACUUUGAGGUGGGGUCUCCUUUGAUUUGGCUUAAAAAGACACUUGAUCCCAUAGUUUCUGGGGGCCACUACUGGUUAUUCUCCUGUCCCUCAUGAUGUUUCUAUAUAGUGCUCAUUUUGGGAGAAAUCUACUUGUGUAUUAUAUUCAAUAAUGUUCCGAUGAAGGCGGGACUUAAGGUUUUUCGCCUUACUAUUGCAUUAUAUUAAGACAAAAAGUGAUGUUCACUUGAAGUGUUACUGCUUUGAUUAGGGUGGAUGAUAUUGUAUUUGUCAUUAAUAAAAAUAAUAAUAAAAAAAAGCUGCUGAUGAGGGCAAACUGA